rnacentral:rRNA from 1 species
CGAACGCUGGCGGCGUGCUUAACACAUGCAAGUCUACGAGAAUAAGGUAGCAAUAUCUUUAGUAAAGUGGCGCACGGGUGAGUAACACGUAAGCAAUCUACCUUUGGGUCUGGAAUAACUUCGAGAAAUCGAGGCUAAUACCGGAUAAUGCAGCGGCACCGCAUGGUGAUGUUGUUAAAGUUUAAGUAAUGCCUAAAGAUGAGCUUGCGUCUGAUUAGCUAGUUGGUAGGGUAAAAGCCUACCAAGGCAACGAUCAGUAGCUGGUCUGAGAGGAUGAUCAGCCACACUGGAACUGAGACACGGUCCAGACUCCUACGGGAGGCAGCAGUGAGGAAUAUUGGGCAAUGCCCGUAAGGGUGACCCAGCAACGCCGCGUGGAGGAUGAAGGCCGUAAGGUUGUAAACUCCUGUUAGAGGAGAAGAAUAGUACCGGUUGGACCGGUAUAUGACUGUACCCUCAGAGAAAGCCCCGGCUAACUACGU